UCCGUAAGGGGUACCUGCGGAGGGAUCAUUACAGAGUUGCAAAACUCCCAAACCAUUGUGAACGUUACCUUUAACCGUUGCUUCGGCGGGCGGCCCCGGGACCACUCCCGGGGCCCCUGGGCCCCCUAGCGGGGCGCCCGCCGGAGGUCACCUAACUCUUGAUAAUUUAAGGCCUCUCUGAGUCUUCUGUACUGAAUAAGUCAAAACUUUCAACAACGGAUCUCUUGGUUCUGGCAUCGAUGAAGAACGCAGCGAAAUGCGAUAAGUAAUGUGAAUUGCAGAAUUCAGUGAAUCAUCGAAUCUUUGAACGCACAUUGCGCCCGCCAGUAUUCUGGCGGGCAUGCCUGUCCGAGCGUCAUUUCAACCAUCAAGCCCCGGGCUUGUGUUGGGGACCUGCGGCUGUCCGCAGGCCCUGAAAACCAGUGGCGGGCUCGCUGUCACCCCGAGCGUAGUAGUAUUAUCUCGCUAAGGGCGUGCUGCGGGUUCCGGCCGUUAAACAGCCUUCAUAACCCAAGGUUGACCUCGGAUCAGGUAGGAAGACCCGCUGAACUUAAGCAUAUCAAUAAGG
rnacentral:rRNA from 1 species